rnacentral:lncRNA from 1 species
UUAAAAAAUUAAAACUGUUUCUCCUUCUCUCUGAACCCACCGUGAGAACCCAAUCUCUCUCUAAUCUCUCUGAACCCUUCACCACCACCACCACCAUCACCCCACAACCUUCACCACCGCCACCCACCCCACCCCACCUCAGCCUUCACCGCCUCCACCCCCACCUACCGACCACCCCAACCCUACUGCGCCAACCAUCACCACCGUUUCUCGCAGCGGCCGCAAGUUGCAGCGGUACAAUCAAGGCCAACGUCAAGUCAUUGGGUCAGUACUGUCACUAAUCUAUGAUUGGCUUCAUGAUGUAUAUAUUACAGAUUAGCAAAAUGCGAUCAGAUGUGAAUUUAUAAGAUGCAUUAGAAGUUCUUGUGAUCAGUGCACAAAGAAAAGGCAAAGGAAUGUUGUUCCCUAAGGUAUUUACAAGCCACUGUUAACCACCGCACCACUACAGACAACCAACAAUCCGGGAAGCAUGUUUACACAGUGGGAGAUAUGAAUAAACAUGGGAUUUUCAGAUGCAAAUAUUUUAUUUUAGGACGAAAAAGUGCAAAUUUGGUCCGAUUGUAUGGUGGUUGUAGAUGAUGAAGGGAGGUAGUGGUGGCGGUGAAGGGUGGUGGUGGAGGUGGAGGAUGGUGGUGAUAAGUGGUGCAAAUUUGGUCUGACUGUAUGGUUAUAAAAAUAAUAUCUUAAAUUAUUUUGUUUUAUUUUUACAUAAUAGCCCCUUGAUAUAAUUUAUCUUACACAAUAACCCCUUGAAU